rnacentral:rRNA from 1 species
GAUGAACGCUGGCGGCGUGCCUAAUACAUGCAAGUCGAGCGAACAGACGAGGAGCUUGCUCCUCUGACGUUAGCGGCGGACGGGUGAGUAACACGUGGAUAACCUACCUAUAAGACUGGGAUAACUUCGGGAAACCGGAGCUAAUACCGGAUAAUAUAUUGAACCGCAUGGUUCAAUAGUGAAAGACGGUUUUGCUGUCACUUAUAGAUGGAUCCGCGCCGCAUUAGCUAGUUGGUAAGGUAACGGCUUACCAAGGCAACGAUGCGUAGCCGACCUGAGAGGGUGAUCGGCCACACUGGAACUGAGACACGGGCCAGACUCCUACGGGAGGCAGCAGUAGGGAAUCUGCCGCAAUGGGCGAAAGCCUGACGGAGCAACGCCGCGUGAGUGAUGAAGGUCUUCGGAUCGUAAAACGCUGUUAUUAGGGAAGAACAAAUGUGUAAGUAACUAUGCACGUCUUGACGGUACCUAAUCAGAAAGCCACGGCUAACUACGU